AAUUAGGGUUCGAUUCCGGAGAGGGAGCCUGAGAAACGGCUACCACAUCCAAGGAAGGCAGCAGGCGCGCAAAUUACCCAAUCCCGAUACGGGGAGGUAGUGACAAUAAAUAACAAUACAGGGCUCUUAUGGGUCUUGUAAUUGGAAUGAGUACAAUUUAAAUCCCUUUACGAGGAACGAUUGGAGGGCAAGUCUGGUGCCAGCAGCCGCGGUAAUUCCAGCUCCAAUAGCGUAUAUUAAAGUUGUUGCAGUUAAAAAGCUCGUAGUUGAAUUUCGGGGUUCUACCGUUGGUCGGGCAAUUGUCUGUACUGGCGUGUAGAAUUUCUACCUUCUGGGGAACUAUCAUGUUAUUAAUUUAGCGUGGUAGGAAACCAGGACCUUUACCUUGAAAAAAUUAGAGUGUUCAAAGCAGGCUUACGUCUGAAUACAUUAGCAUGGAAUAAUAAAAUAGGACGGUGGUCCUGUUUUGUUGGUUUCUGAAUCACCGUAAUGAUUAAUAGGGAUAGUUGGGGGCAUUAGUAUUCAAUUGUCAGAGGUGAAAUUCUUGGAUUUAUUGAAGACUAACUUCUGCGAAAGCAUUUGCCAAGGAUGUUUUCAUUAAUCAAGAACGAAAGUUAGGGGAUCGAAGACGAUCAGAUACCGUCGUAGUCUUAACCAUAAACUAUGCCGACUAGGAAUCGGACGAUGUUA
rnacentral:rRNA from 1 species